CGAUCCUCUGCCACGGGGGAGGCUCUGGACGCGGGGGACUCCGAGCGGGAGGCUUCCCCUUCGCCCCGCUCCUCUCCCCGCUCUGGUCGCUCCUUCACUCCGCUAUCUGGGCUGGUUGCUUCUUCUGGGGACAAAGAUAAGAAGUCGCGAGCGCGAAGUUGGAACAAACUCAGUGACAGGCGACAGUGACGCGACGCCUGCGCUCGACUGCGGCGUCUUGCAGACUUUAUUAAACAUAUUCUAGUCAGAAAUGAUGAUCAGGUGUCAUGCAAAAGAUUUUUCCGCUCUGCUUAUGACUAUGUUCGUGCCCGCCAAGGAAGUCUGCAGACGUCAGCUUAUGAUUGUAAAAUGUGUGGCGGAAUCUUAGUGAGUCGUCAAGUUAAAAGAAGUCACUUCAUUAGAUGAUAGAACCAUCUUCGCAUGAGAAUACAAAAUUAAAUAGCAAACAAACGCGUCAUAAACAGCACAAUUUUUAUUUAAAUUGACGAAAAAUUAAAAUUUUAAUAACAAUUACUUGCCCAAAGUUCCGCUCAUAUUCAUACCAAAAAUGCGGAUAAAUUGCAUCUGUUUAAUUCCAAUUCAGUUUUAUGUGUCUCAUUAGACACAUUAAACUG